rnacentral:rRNA from 1 species
GAGUUUGAUCAUGACUCAGAUUGAACGCUGGCGGCAUGCCUUACACAUGCAAGUCGAACGGCAGCACGGGAGCUUGCUCCUGGGUGGCGAGUGGCGAACGGGUGAGUAAUGCAUCGGAACGUAUCCUGGAGUGGGGGAUAACGUAGCGAAAGUUACGCUAAUACCGCAUAUUCUGUGAGCAGGAAAGCGGGGGACCUUCGGGCCUCGCGCUCUUGGAGCGGCCGAUGUCGGAUUAGCUAGUUGGUGAGGUAAAGGCUCACCAAGGCGACGAUCCGUAGCAGGUCUGAGAGGAUGAUCUGCCACACUGGAACUGAGACACGGUCCAGACUCCUACGGGAGGCAGCAGUGGGGAAUUUUGGACAAUGGGGGCAACCCUGAUCCAGCCAUGCCGCGUGAGUGAAGAAGGCCUCGGUUGUAAG